AGUGGGAUAGCUGGGUCAAAUUGUGGUUCCAUUCCAAGUUUUCUAAGGAAUCUCCAUACCCCUUUUCAUAAUGAUUGCAUCAAUUUGCAGUCCCACCAGCAAU
rnacentral:pre_miRNA from 1 species